CGAGAGGCCCAAACGUUAUUCGGAAUUACUGGGCUUAAAGAGUUCGUAGGCGGCGCAGAAAGUAGGGUGUGAAAGCCCUCGGCUCAACCGAGGAAUUGCGCUCUAAACUACUGUGCUCGAGGAACCUAGAGGUGAGCAGAACAGAUGGUGGAGCGGUGAAAUGCGUUGAUAUCAUCUGGAAUACCGGAGGCGAAGGCGGCUCACUGGGGGUUUUCUGACGCUGAGGAACGAAAGCCAGGGGAGCGAACGGGAUUAGAUACCCCGGUAGUCCUGGCCGUAAACGAUGAGCACUAGGCCGGAGCCCUGCACAGGGUUUCGGCCGUAGCUAAAGUGUUAAGUGCUCCGCCUGGGGAGUAUGGUCGCAAGGCUG
rnacentral:rRNA from 1 species